GCUUCUAUAGCAUAAUGGUAUUGCAACGGUUUUGUAAUCCGUAUAUUCCAGUUCGAUUCUGGAUAGGAGCUCCA
rnacentral:tRNA from 1 species